UACGUAGGGGGCAAGCGUUGUCCGGAAUCAUUGGGCGUAAAGAGCGCGUAGGCGGCCCGGUAAGUCCGCUGUAAAAGUCCAGGGCUCAACCCUGGAAAGCCGGUGGAUACUGUCGGGCUAGAGUCCGGAAGAGGCGAGUGGAAUUCCUGGUGUAGCGGUGGAAUGCGCAGAUAUCAGGAGGAACACCGAUGGCGAAGGCAGCUCGCUGGGACGGUACUGACGCUGGAGGCGCGAAAGCGUGGGGAGCGAACAGGAUAGAUACCCCAG
rnacentral:rRNA from 1 species